AAUGAGCACAAACAAAAAAGGAAGAAAUACGAAUCAGAAAAACUCACUGAGCUGCCCCGUGACCUGUGGGUAAUUAAUUGGUCCGAGAAACUACUUUCCCUGCCUGGUGACUAUUUUGUGACUCUUUCUUUGUUCUUCUUUUCAAUUCUCUUUCAUUGUCUGUUUUAGCCAGAGUAAUACAUGUAGAGCUACUCAUGAAAGUAGGCUUGUAAUUUAAAAAAUCUACCUGGUGGUAGAUUUUCACCACUCCAAGUGGUAUGUAAAAGCUGACUGGGUCUGUAAUCACCCUCGGUUCAGCCUGGAAUGAGGGGAGGGGAGACUGGAGGACCUUCCCUCUCUCUCCAGUCUCUCCCCCCAGUCCAUCCUGGAGCCUUCAUUCAACAUCUAUUUUGGCUAGACUCUGAGGAUGGAGGUGAAAGACUCCCACCCUCAAGUAGCUCAAAAAACUUAACUGGAGAGACGGAGAGUGAGGGGCCAUUUCAUUACAGGAUGCUAUGUACUGUUUUUAUUAUAAUGAUGACCAUUAGUAUCAACUAUUUUACUUUCAGUAAAACCUUAGAUAAUUCAGGUGUUACUAUAAUUAAAAACAAACAAACCCUAUAAUCAGUUAGUUAGCUUGUGUCCCUGCACUAAGGGAGAGGCUUAUGUUAUGCUUUCUGUGGGGGCCUUGUUAAAGAAUAUCCCCUUCUGGGUUCAGGACUUACUUCGUAAGGAGUCUCCAGAUUCCUUGUCCCCAGAUGCCCCACUUCAAUCAGCAGCUACCUAUGCCCAGCUUCCUGUUCCCUCUUAGAAGUGACUGUUGCAUGGGAACCACAAGAACAGAAGCAAAGCUCUGUGAUGGGCAAACAGGAGGCCUGCAAAAUAGAUCAGGGACCAUCAGUCCAUCUACUCUGUUUUGCAGGAAAGGAGGAGCCAUUCAGACCAGAGAUAGAGAGAGUACACACCCAGCGGGCACUGACUUCCUUGACCUUCAGCCGUCUGCCCCGUCCCAUCGCAUCAGCUCUCACUCACGUUCUGGUCACUGUUCAUGACCCUCAGACCAGCCUCCCUCUUCAGUAACAUGUUUCAAUUUCCCGAUACCAUUUGGCCUGUCAGUCCAUACCACCGCUGCCCUGGCCAUGGCUUACUCAGGCCAGGUGUGUGUAUCCUGCAGGUGGCGUGGGUGGCAGUGGCGGGCCUGCAGCACCUGGGGAAUGGUUCCCUUCAGGUCAGGUGAGUGAUGACAGCUGGAGGCCUCUCCUUAUUUCUCCUGGGGGAAGAAAGUGGCUUAUCCGCAUCCCCCGCUGCCCCAGUGAAUGUGGACCCUUCCUUCUGAUAAGUCCUUUCAGGCAAUUUGGGAAACUUCUUUAAAACUCUGUGAGCAGCUCAUGCCCCUAAACUCAAUUAUAAGUAAAGACCUCAACACUUGGCCACGGGGACAGGCGGUAUCUUAGUUCCCCUACCAGGGAUAGAACCAACGCCCCCUGCAGUGGAAGCACGGAGUCUGAACCACUAGACCGCCAGGGAAGUCCCAAAGCUUCCUUUUCUUGAAGAGGCCAUCUGCACGAUCUAGAGCUGAAAGGCAAGCCAAGUGCCCUCCAACCUUCCCCACCAGGCCAGAUGCUUCUCACGCCCACCUGUGACGUGGGAGCCACAUCAGUCAGAAAUCACCCCCGAACGGCGAUGAAGGCAGGAAAGGUCUUCACAGACUUGACACAUGGCACUGGUCACCAAACAGAAAACAAUGGAACCUCAACAUCUUUAUGUUUUGACAAUCUGAAAAAUCACGUAUCAGCCUGGAAACAGUGCGAGCCAUCGGUGAACCUCAGCACCUCCCUUCCCUUGGCUCUCGGUGAGAUAAACGUUGACCACACGCUGUGGCAGGCGAGACAGGCCCGGGGCGGCCGAGGAGAUGCUGGCCAGCAGCACACUUCCCGUCCGCCUUUGCCAAGAAGUCAUCAAGCACAUGGUCGGUUUUCUUUCAUGAAACCCACUUUAUCCUUAUCUUUGUUUUCUUUUUGAAUGAGUCCCAGUUGAAGGAUUACGCACAGAUGUGUGUGUUUUUCUUAGAAGACCUGGGUCACCGGCAGCGUGGAGGUGAAAGUCCCGCAGAUGAGCCUCCGAGCACAAUUCCUCUGCGAUUUCACAAUGUGAAAUGUCAGGCAUUCACACGUGACUUUAAAAGUGAGAUCAUGUGACUGAUGGGGCAACUUCUGGAUUAUGUGCAUCGUCCUCUUCCCCUGCCGCUUCCCAUGGGCUGGAAUGAAGACGCGGUGGUCAUGGUUUCCAAUUCUUCACUUACUAGGGGGAUGUAACGGAACUGUCAGUUGAUAACGUAUUAGAUUCCUUCGGCUGCUAUUACAACUCAGCACAAACUUAGUGACUUAAAACAACACAAAUUUAUUCUCUUAUGGUUCUGGAGGCCAGAAGUCUGAAAACGGUUUCACCGAGCUAACGUGAAGGUAUGGGCAGGGCUGGUUCCUUCUGAAGGAUCUGGAGGAUCCAGGAUCUGAGGGGAGAAAACGUUUCCUUGUCUUUUUCGGCCUCUAGCGCUGCAUUCCUUACAUUCCCUGGCUCAUGGCCCCUUCCUUCAGAGGCAGCAGCACAGCAUCUUUGAAACUCUUUCUCCUUCUGUCUUCAUAUCACCACCUUCUCCGCACAAAACUCUGCCUGUGCCCCUCUUUUCUGGAUGUUUGUGAUUACAUCAGCCCCACGUGGAUAAUCCAGGCUUAUUCUCCCAUUUCAAGAUCCUUAACUUGAUCAUGUCUGCACAGCCUCGUUUGCCAUACGAAGUAAUAUUCCUAGGUUCCAGAGAUGAGGAUGUGGAGAUAUUGGCAGGGCGGGCGGUGGGGGAGGGAGCGGGGCAUCAUUUAGCUUACCACAGUCAUUAAAUAUAAUUUUUGAUGAAAAUGCAUGUGUGAUUUUGGGCAUGAAACUCAGAAGACAUUCAGAAAAUGAGUGGCAUUGCUAAACAAAAUUUCCUUCCAUUUUUAUUUGCCUGUUUAUAUAAACAAGGCUGCUUGCAUGCUUACAUUCAAUUGAAAGAUCGGAAUAGAAUUCCUAAUUCUAAGCCGAAUUCCUUCUAGCAAUAAGUAACAUUCAUUCAAUGAUAAGUUAAUUGGAAAAAAUUAUAAAGCUCCAUUCAUCUCAUUUAGAAAUAUAUUUUCAGUAAAAUUUCACUUUUUAUGUGUUUCUUGUUUAUCCAAAUUUGUUACAUAUUCAUGUGGUUUUGAGCAAUAAUAUACUUCUAAUAAGUGAAGGAUAACUCAAUCAGGAAGAAAUUAAAAAAAAAUUUAAGCCUUAUGAUCACAGGAAAUUCAAAAACUUAAACUUAUAUGUAUAUAUUUUUGUUGUAGGAGAAAGGUGAUCAAAGAAAGAUUUAUGUAUAAAAUGCAUUAGUAUAAAUUUCUGUGGGGGAAGUGGAAUGGAUACACAGGUUCCAAAAGAAAAUGAAACAAUACGAAAUUUCUGACAGGAAGCGUAUGAACAAAAAGUUUGAAGACAAGUACUGAUGGGCCUGUCAGGAGAGCGGCACCCCAUCCAGCCCCUGGCAAGGGGGUUUUGCUUGAACCACAGUGAUGAGAAGUUUCCUUGGGCUCUUGGACUAAUAAAGUAUCUCAGUGGUUAUUCCCAGCUCCGUCAAAAUAACAACAAGGAAAAAUACCCAGACUCCUCUAUUCACCAGCUCACUCAUUCCCUUCCUACACUGCCCAGCCAGAGAUACUUGUCUGCAGUUCAUCAGGCCGGAGAACCUCACACUCUGGUUGCCAAUACAGAGUGCUUGGUGGUAAGAAGAGGCCUCUUAAUGGAUCCAAAUGUUAAGUUCUGACCAGAAGUUGCCACCGGGCUAGAUACAGAUAUUGCCAACUUCCCCAUCAGAAAAACAAAAGCAAGACUCCAGGGACCCAUAUUCAGAGCUUGUUAUGAGACUACUCUUAUGAGCGUAUAUAUAUAUGGUGAUUAUUUUGGGUAAACGGGAGUAGAUAAAUACAAUUCAAAGUAAACUCUU